rnacentral:rRNA from 1 species
UUCCUUGUUGGUGGAUCCCUCUUUUAUGUUUAACCUUUUUUUUUUUGGUUAAAACUUUAUGACUCUAUAACUUCUAUACCGUGAGGCCAAACUUGGCAUGUGAUACCUUUUCGGAAAGCCCAAAGAGAGCCCUCCGACGAAAGAAGCAAGACAAUGGAACUUUUCCAUUGACUUUUUGUCGACUCCAAAUUUUGACCUUUAAGUACUUUUUCGGGCAUUUUCGUGAUUUGUGCUAUAUUACGGACCCAAAAUUACUUUUUCAAGCAUUGUUUUCGAAUAUUUUUUAUGCAUUCAAAGCUCGUUAAGACUAGAUGGGGUAA